GCAGUGACACUCCCCAGUCCCACGGGCACUCGCUGCAACCCAUUGGAGGAGGCUGGGGCCAAUCAGUGUUCUCCUUGACUCCAGGCUGCGCGGAUUCGAGCUGCAGAGCCGUUUCCCAGGGACUGCUCCCAACAGGACGUCUAUCUCAGGGGCCAAACCUAGUUGGAUCUGCUGAGCAAACAUGGUUGGCAAAGUGGGAUGCUGUAAUCUGGAGAAUCAGCCUAACAGUGGGGUGAAUUGCAGGAGAGAAGUGCAGGUGCUGGCCCUGUCACUUGAAAGAGGUCCUCAUGGAGAGACUGAGUGAGGGGGUCAA